AAUGAACGCUGGCGGCGUGGAUAAGGCAUGCAAGUCGAACGCGAAACCUUCGGGGAGUAGAGUGGCGACCUGGAUAGUAAUACCUGGGUACUUGCCCGGAAGUGGGGAAUAACUUCGUGAAAGCGAAGCUAAUACCGCAUGUGGACGAAAGUCUAAAGGCUUCGGCCGCUUCCGGAUAGGCCCGGGCCCUAUUAGCUAGUUGGUGAGGUAAAGGCUCACCAAGGCGACGAUAGGUAGGGGGUGUGAGAGCAUGGCCCCCAUCACGAGGACUGAGAUACGGCCUCGACCCCCACCGGGGGGCGGA
rnacentral:rRNA from 1 species